CCUACGGGGUGCUGCAGUCGAGAAUCAUUCACAAUGGGGGAAACCCUGAUGGUGCGACGCCGCGUGGGGGAAUGAAGGUCUUCGGAUUGUAAACCCCUGUCAUGUGGGAGCAAAUUAAAAAGAUAGUACCACAAGAGGAAGAGACGGCUAACUCUGUGCCAGCAGCCGCGGUAAUACAGAGGUCUCAAGCGUUGUUCGGAAUCACUGGGCGUAAAGCGUGCGUAGGCUGUUUCGUAAGUCGUGUGUGAAAGGUGCGGGCUCAACCCGCGGACGGCACAUGAUACUGCGAGACUAGAGUAAUGGAGGGGGAACCGGAAUUCUCGGUGUAGCAGUGAAAUGCGUAGAUAUCGAGAGGAACACUCGUGGCGAAGGCGGGUUCCUGGACAUUAACUGACGCUGAGGCACGAAGGCCAGGGGAGCGAAAGGGAUUAGAUACCCUAGUAGUC
rnacentral:rRNA from 1 species